CAGAAUUUAAAACCUUCCUGUGGAUCUAUUUUUGUUUUUAUUUUAUUUUCUAUCUUAUUGUCUUGCAUCCUGUGUCUCGUUAUGUUCAGUUACUUGCCAAUAUUGUAUAUGAAAACUUAUAGAAAUAAUUUGAUGCCCAGGAUGAUAUUUUCUGUUUUUACCAGAUACUUGAGCACAGAUUACUUAGGACCAUUUUGAUCCAGUUCCAGAGACUGAGACUUUUCUGGGCCUGCUGUGUGAUUCAAACAUGAACUACUAGACUAUACUUGCACUGUGACUUCCUUCCUGUUCACCCUUACUCUUAAGUUUCCGCCAUUCUACAUUCUGUAGGAUCAGUUGAGGUUACCAGAGCCUCUGUCUGUUAACUGACCUGUGAUCUACCUUUGAAUCCCUAAACUAGAACCAAGGCUCCACGCAGCUAGCUUCUCAGUGACUUCUUGCAAAUGUAUAUGUAAGUCAUCUCAGGACACAAUAGUUCCAAAUAAAAUGUUUACAAUUCUGAAUAUCUAUGUUCUCCCAUGUAUUACCCUGGGAACUUGUUUACUAACAUCAACUCCAAUGUUUUCCCAUGUUUUUAAGAAAUAUACUUUAUCCAAAUUUUCUAAAGCAUUCUAAUUAGAAUGUUAAUGCAAAUUAUCUAGCCCACAUAAUUUCAUAACUUGAUUAUGUGUAAAUUACAGUUGAUUUCUUUGUAUUGCUUUUUCAUUUGAAAACGUUUUAAACUCUUUAGUAAUUCUUGUAAAUUAUUUGCAGUACUUUUUUUUUUUUUUUCUCUAUAUCAUCUUAACUUCAAAAAGGACAGUUUAGUCAGGUGCAAUGGUGCUUGCCUGUAAUCAGUGACUUUGGAAGCUGAGACAGCUUCAAGGCAACUUGGCAAGACAAAAUGUUUCUAAAAAAAAAAAAAAUUUUAAGAAAGGCCUGAGGACUUAAUAAAGUGCCUCUGGGUACAAUCCUCGGUACCCCACACACACAAAGCAUAGUGACAGUUUAGUCUUCUACUCUUCAAAUUCGG
rnacentral:lncRNA from 1 species